rnacentral:lncRNA from 1 species
UGGCAGUGUUUUUCUCAGUGUGAGCUGUGGACACCUCUCAGUCACCAGGCUUCCUGGACCCUGCAAAACUCGGUGAAUGUGAAUCUCUGAGGGUAGAGAUGAGGCGCUUUCAGUUUAAACAGGCCUCCCUCCACUGCGAUGAAGUCGGUGGGGGCUAUGCUCACAGCAUUCCCUUUGGCAGGUUCUGAAAAAUAACUGCACUUAGUCAGUGUUCAGAUCUCAAAGGUAAGUCAGGUGUCUGGUUGGUCAGCAGUUACACCAGAAGGUUAAAAAAAUUCCUUGAGAUGCUGAAUUUACAGGUAUGGGGUGGAACUUGGGGAUCAGUCGAAGUUUUAAAAGUUUCUUACAUAUAAUUUUGGCUAGCUAUGUUUGGGGACCAGUGCACACUUUGGUGACAGAACAGUUUUGGUGAAUAUCACCUACAGACAUUUUUUUCAAUGACUUAUUUAUUUAGGUACUAAGGAUUGAACCCAGGGGCACUUAACCUUGGAGCCACAUCCCUAGCCCCACCCUCACCUUUUAAAAUUUUUUUUGUUGUAGAUGGACACAACACUUUUAUUUUGUUUAUUUACUUUUAUGUGGUCCUGAGGAUCGAACCCAGUGUGUCACACAUGUUAGGUGAGCACUCUACUGCUGAGCUACAUGUAACUCCAGUCCCCCCAACCCUUUUUAAAUAUUUUAUCUAGAGACAGUGUCUUGCUAAGUUGCUGAGGCUGGCUUUGAACUCGACAUCUUUCUGCUUCAGCUUCCUGUGCUGCCACUGUGCCCUGCUUUAAAAAGGAAAAUAAUGCUUGGACCUAUUUUAGUCAUUUUCUGGACAUAGGGUCUGGUUAUCACAUUUUUAUAAAAAUUAUUUUGGGGACAUUAUUCUUUAAAGGUUUAUCUUUUCUUUUCCCAGUGUUGGGAUUGAAUCCAGGGCCUAUCUCAUGCUAGUUAAGCACUCUUUCACUGAGCUGCUCUUUAUUUGAGGAAUAAGGUUUUCCACACUUGUCCCAAACAAGCAUUUGGUUCUUGAUUCCUUAAUCAGAAAGUGGGUUCAUAGUCAUAUAAAUUCUUAUUUUUUAAUUGGUGAUACUAGGGAUUGACCCCAGGGCCUUGCACAUAAUAGACAAGUGUUCUACCACUGAGAGCUAUAUCCCUGGUCCUUUAUAUUUUGAGAUAGGAUCUUUCUAUGUUCCCUGGGCUGGGAUCCACCUGCCUCAGCCUCCUGAGUAUCUAGGGUUACAGGUGUGUGUACUGCUGCACCUGGCACUCAUAUAAUCUUAUUGGCUAAAUAGCACUGAAGAUACUUGGGGUAGACUCCAAAGUAAUUAAAUUACUUAAGCAGCCAUUUGAGAGAGGGCAGGCAUUUGAACUGUAAAGAUCAGCUAAGGUUUUCAACUCAAAGCUAAAAUGUAGAAGAGGGCUAUAUUUCCCCACUAAUUUCAAGACACCUGUACUGGACAAAUUUUACUGGAAAUGGAUUUUCUUUGUACUCAGAAACAUUUUAAUUUGUCCACAGAGUGUAUAGAGGAUUAAAUUCCAAAUAGUACAAGUUAGUGCUAGAAAUGAAUGAAAUUGAAACUAUCUGGCAAACUAAAUUGGAUUUUUUGGGAAAGGAAAUUUCUUGCUAACUUAAAAACAGUUUAUUGGGCUGGGGAUGUGGCUCAAGCGGUAGCACGCUCGCCUGGCAUGCGUGCGGCCCGGGUUCGAUCCUCAGCACCACGUACAAUGAUGUUGUGUCCACCGAGAACUAAAAAAUAAAUAUUAAAACAAACAAACAAAAAAGUGUUUAUUCCUUUCUAAGAUGCCACCCCCACCCCAUUAUUUGUGAGACCUUUGGGCAGGAUAGUGUUAAUAUGGCUAUCAUUUGUAUCAGUGCAUAUCUAGUUUCAGAUGGUUUGAAUUUUAAGACUGAAUGAUUAAACAAGUAGCUGCUGCAUUCGUGGAUUAGUUUGAUAGUAAUGGAUUAACAUUUGACUGCAUAAAGUCUUAGUUUCUGUGUCUUGAUUUAUGGCUUAUUUGUAAAUUGAGGCAAUCACAAGAAAACGUCUUCUCAGAGGCAGGAACUGGAGAGGGUGUGCCUUUGUGGGUUUCUAAAUACUCAGUGUUUGAGCUGUGAGCCUUGAACUGAAAAUUCUAACUCUCUGAUCAUGGGUUUUGUAGCAGAGCCUCAUGAGAGUGGGAAAGCUUGUCCCAGUACCAGGCUAGUUCUUGCUUCUUUUAUCCAGCUAAUUUUAACUCUGGCCUUUUUUGUUGUUUUUCCCAUGAGCUAACCCAUGAGCAUUUUGCGUGGUUGAGAUUAGCUCCACCUAGUGGUGAAUUUGUUAAAACUUUGGUGGUUGGAUCCAUGGCACCCUCUACCUAAACCAUUUUCUUAUGGAGUCUUGAUUUAUGGCAUAAAAUAAUAGAGGUUGGUACAGUACCUCGGUGAACUGGAGAGACUAUUGAAUUAUUCAAGAGAGACUGUUAGUAGUCAGCCUGGGAAUUCAUAGGUAAUCCAACUCUAAAAUUCAAGGUAGUGUCUACCCUAGGGAAAUAAUUGCCCAAAGCCUUGACUCUGCCUUUACUGUGUAAUUUUGGAAAAGUCUCUGAAUGUCCCUAAGCUUCAUCAGUAAAUCAGGAAUAAUGGCAAUAUCUACAUCUCAAGGCUGAAAGGGUGAAAUGAGAUCAUAUCUGUGAAAGUUUUUUUGUGAACACAGAGGUGCUAUGCAAAUAUUAGCAGAUACCAGAUUUGCAUUGUGGUAGGAGGAGUUUAGGUCAUGGGUAAAGUAUGAACUGAUGGCAUUUGGAUGUGCACAUGGGAGUGUGUAAGGGAUUUUGUGUUUUCUCUGAUUUGCUAUAGGAGUGCAGAUUUAGCGUUUUUGAGAGGUAGACUGUCUCAGCUCAAGGCAGUUUACCUUCUCUUUAAGAAGACAGAGAUGGGGCUGGGGUUGUGGCUCAGCAGUAGAGCGCUUGCUUAGCAUGUGCGAGGCCCUGGAUUCGAUCCUCAGCACCACAUAAAAAUAAAUAAAAUAAAGGUAUUGUGUCCAACUACAACUAAUAUAUAUAUAUAU